rnacentral:rRNA from 1 species
UACGUAGGAGGCAAGCGUUGUCCGGAAUUACUGGGCGUAAAGCGCGUGUAGGUGGUGGGACAAGUCUGCUGUGAAAGCGCCUGGCUUAACCGGGCGAGGUCGGCGGAAACUGUCCGACUAGAGGACGGUAGAGGGGGGUGGAAUUCCCGGUGUAGUGGUGAAAUGCGUAGAUAUCUGGAGGAACACCGGUGGCGAAGGCGGCAUCCUGGACCGGCAUUGACGCUGAGGAGCGAAAGCCAGGGGAGCAAACGGG